AACGAACGCUGGCGGCAUGCCUAACACAUGCAAGUCGAACGAGACCUUCGGGUCUAGUGGCGCACGGGUGCGUAACGCGUGGGAACCUGCCCUUAGGCUCGGAAUAACUCCCCGAAAGGGGUGCUAAUACCGGAUAAUGUCUUCGGACCAAAGAUUUAUCGCCUUUGGAUGGGCCCGCGUUGGAUUAGCUAGUUGGUAGGGUAAAAGCCUACCAAGGCGACGAUCCAUAGCUGGUCUGAGAGGAUGAUCAGCCACACUGGGACUGAGACACGGCCCAGACCCCUACGGGAGGCAGCAGUGGGGAAUAUUGGACAAUGGGCGAAAGCCUGAUCCAGCAAUGCCGCGUGAGUGAUGAAGGCCUUAGGGUUGUAAAGCUCUUUUACCCGGGACGAUAAUGACAGUACCGGGAGAAUAAGCUCCGGCUAACUCCGUG
rnacentral:rRNA from 1 species